GGGACUGUAGCUCAGCCUGGGAGAGCACCACGCUGAAGACGUGGCUGUCGGGGGUUCAAAUCCCCCCGGUCUCA
rnacentral:tRNA from 1 species